rnacentral:ncRNA from 1 species
UUCAUUAAUCAAGAACGAAAGUCAGAGGUUCGAAGGCGAUUAGAUACCGCCCUAGUUCUGACCGUAAACGAUGCCAUCUCGCGAUUCGGAGGGUUCAUGCCCUACCGAGGAGCUACCCGGAAACGAAAGUCUUUCGGUUCCGGGGGUAGUAUGGUUGCAAAGCUGAAACUUAAAGAAAUUGACGGAAGGGCACCACAAGGCGUGGAGCUUGCGGCUUAAUUUGACUCAACACGGGAAAACUCACCCGGUCCGGACACUAUUAGGACUGACAGAUUGAAAGCUCUUUCUCGAUUUGGUGGUUGGUGGUGCAUGGCCGUUCUUAGUUGGUGGAGUGAUUUGUCUGGUUUAUUCCGAUAACGAGCGAGACUCUAGCCUGCUAAAUAGUCGACGAAUCUUCGGGUUCGUAUAACUUCUUAGAGGGAUAAGCGGUGUUUAGCCGCACGAGAUUGAGCGAUAACAGGUCUGUGAUGCCCUUAGAUGUCCGGGGCUGCACGCGUGCUACACUGGUGGAGUCAGCGGGUUUUUCCUAUGCCGAAAGGUAUCGGUAAACCGUUGAACUUCUUCCAUGUCCGGGAUAGGGUAUUGUAAUUAUUACCCUUAAACGAGGAAUGCCUAGUAAGUGUGAGUCAUCAGCUCACGUUGAUUACGUCCCUGCCCUUUGUACACACCGCCCGUCGCUAUCCGGGACUGAACUGAUUCGAGAAGAGUGGGACUGUGGCUGCGAGGUUUUACCACUUCGCAGUUGCGGAAACCAUUUUUAUCGCAUUGGUUUGAACCGGGUAAAAGUCGUAACAAGGUAGCUGUAGGUGAACCUGCAGCUGGAUCAUCG